ACUACAUUACGUAUGCUUGUAUAUUUUUGUUUUUUUGAACAAAAAAGUGUUGGUUUUAAAUGUGGUAAAUGAUAAUUGGUCUAAUCUGCAUAAUCAAAGCUCUUUGGUAUUUUACAUAAUUCUUCAGAGGAUAAGGAAAUUCAAAGCCAAUAUGUUUAAGGACUUAAUUGGUGGUGAUUACAAAACAGAUAAAGCUAUUUAAGUUAGAGACGGAAACUAAAAGAAAAAAAUAAAUACUACAAAUAAAAAUUAUAGUAUCUUGAAAAUAAAAAAUAAUACUAGGUCUUUAACAUUAGUACUGGGACUUGCAGCAGAAAAGAGUAGUAAAAAUGAAGCAUAUUUCAAUAUAAACAACCGAAAAAUUAAAAUUAUGAAAUCUCAGUGACCUAAGAGAAAAUAUUAAGAAAAAAUAUAUGAAUUUAAUUGAAGGAGGAGGAGAGAGAGAUAAUAACGCUUUGUAGAAUAAAAAAUAAAUACAUACAGUUAUGUAUCACUUAAUCACAGUGAUAUACCCUGAGAAAUACAUUGUUAGAUAAUUUCAUCCUUGUGUAAACAUCAUAAAGUGUAUUAUUACAUAAAUCUAGAUAGCAUAGCCCACUACACACCUAGGCCAUAUAGUAUAAGCUAUUGCUCCCAGGCUACAAACCUGAAUAGCAUGGUACUAUGCUAAGAAAAGUACUAUACACAACUGUAAUACAGAGAGAAACAUUUAAUAAGGGUGAGAAAAGAAGUCACAAAGCCUAGAAAUUUACAGAAUCAAUUUUGCAGCAUUCCAUUGGACAACGCAAGUCAUAGAGUCAACCCAGACUCAAGGAGUGAGCAAAUGAGUCCCAAUUUCUUGAUAAGAGAAUCUGUAAAGUCAUACUACAAAAUGAAGCAGGAAUUAUUCUGGUCUUUUGUGCAACUAUUCUACCAUUCAAAGGAACUGUUAUUUAAAAAUAUGUACUAAUUUUUGACAUACUUUAUGCAUUAUUUAUACAUCAUGAGUAAUUUUAAAAUAAUGUUUUGACAAUAAUUUAUUUUAUGUUUAUUAAGUAAAUGCUAAUCAUGAUAAUUUAAUAUGACAUUUUUUGGGAAUUUAUAUAACUCAAAUUAUAUUUGAGUAUAAUAUGUUAAUUACUAAUGUGCAUCAUUUAAAAUUAUGUGAUCAAAUUAAACUCAUUCCCAGAACUUUAUAUUUAUGCUCC
rnacentral:lncRNA from 1 species